rnacentral:rRNA from 1 species
AACGCGAAGAACCUUACCUACUUUUGACAUCCUGCGAAUUCGACGUAAUGGUUGAAGUGCCGAAAGGAACGCAGAGACAGGUGCUGCAUGGCUGUCGUCAGCUCGUGUUGUGAGAUGUUGGGUUAAGUCCCGUAACGAGCGCAACCCUUGUCCUUAGUUACCAUCAUUCAGUUGGGGACUCUAAGGAGACUGCCGGUGAUGAACCGGAGGAAGGCGGGGACGACGUCAAGUCAUCAUGGCCUUUAUAAGUAGGGCUACACACGUGCUACAAUGGGGCGUACAGAGGGUAGCCAACCCGCGAGGGGGAGCCAAUCUCAAAAAGCGUCUCGUAGUCCGGAUUGAAGUCUGCAAUUCGACUUCAUGAAGUCGGAAUCGCUAGUAAUCGCGAAUCAGCCAUGUCGCGGUGAAUACGUUCCCGGGCCUUGUACACACCGAGACGAC